GUCCCCGUAGUUUAGUGGUAGAGCAGAAGCCUUUUAAGCUUUUAAUAUUGGUUCGAUUCCAAUCGGGGAUA